ACCACGCCGUCUGGAGAGACGUCACGCCCGUGACGCACCGAAGGAGCAAGGCCCCGGCACAGCGCCGCGCGGCUGAAACUCUCAGGUAUCAAGGACAGGGGGAGCGGC
rnacentral:ncRNA from 2 species